rnacentral:lncRNA from 1 species
AUUCUUUGCGUCGAAAGUCUUCUUAGCAAGUUGAGCUAAGCGGCGGGAUCUGUUGGCAACAACAGCAGUUCAGAGUGAUGUUCAAGGCAAGGUGUUCAUUCAGAUUGUUACAAAGGAAAUUCUCAGGAUGAGGAUUUUGGUGUCUACGGGCUAUUGAGGUUGGAUAAGAAUUGAGUCAAAGGGCUUCUGGUUUGAGGCAGUGGUGAUUCAGGUUCUGCAGGAGCUUCAAGUUAGCAUCGACAUCAGCUGGAAAUUCUGGAGAAGAAGAAUCAAUAGAUUUGUAGUCACGAUCGCAUUAAGUGUGACAAACCAAAGAUGACGUUGAACAGGUAGCAUCAGAGAAAGC